UACAUGGGGUGCAAACGUUGCUCGGAAUUAUUGGGCGUAAAGCGCGCGUAGGCGGUUACUUAAGUCGGAUGUGAAAGCCCUCGGCUUAACUGAGGAAGUGCACCCGAAACUGAGUAGCUAGAGUACGAAAGAGGGUCGCGGAAUUCCCGGUGUAGAGGUGAAAUUCGUAGAUAUCGGGAGGAACAUCGGUGGCGAAGGCGGCGACCUGGGUCGAGACUGACGCUGAGGCGCGAAAGCCAGGGGAGCGAACGGG
rnacentral:rRNA from 1 species